GCGGAAAGAGCUCGGUAAGGUUUGAGCAACAGAUUGUGAAUCUGAAGGUCAAGGGUUCAAAUCCCUUUUUUCGCC
rnacentral:tRNA from 1 species